AUCGAACGCUGGCGGCAGGCCUAACACAUGCAAGUCGAACGAGUGGCGGACGGGUGAGUAAUGUCUGGGAAACUGCCCGAUGGAGGGGGAUAACUACUGGAAACGGUAGCUAAUACCGCAUACCAUCGGAUGUGCCCAGAGGGGAUUAGCUAGUAGGUGGGGUAACGGCUCACCUAGGCGACGAUCCCUAGCUGGUCUGAGAGGAUGACCAGCCACACUGGAACGGGGACACGGUCCAGAGUCCUACGGGAGGCAGCAGUGGGGAAUGUUGCACAGUGGGCGCAAGCCUGAUGCAGCCAGGCCGCGUGUAUGAAGAGGGCCUUCGGGUUGUAAAGUACUUUCAGCGAGGGGGCGUUACUCGCAGAAGAAGCACCGGCUAACUCCGUGCCAGCAGCCGCGGUAAUAC
rnacentral:rRNA from 1 species